rnacentral:rRNA from 1 species
GUGAGGUAACGGCUCACCAAGGCGAUUACGGGUAGCUGGUCUGGGAGGACGAUCAGCCACACUGGGACUGAGACACGGCCCAGACUCCUACGGGAGGCAGCAGUGGGGAAUCUUGCGCAAUGGGGGAAACCCUGACGCAGCGACGCCGCGUGCGGGAUGAAUGCCUCCGGGUUGUAACCCGCUUUCAGCAGGGACGAAAUUGACGGUACCUGCUGAAGAAGGCCCGGCUAACUACGUGCCAGCAGCCGCGGUAAUACGUAGGGGCCAAGCGUUGUCCGGAAUUAUUGGGCGUAAAGAGCUCGUAGGCGGUUUGGUAAGUCGGAUGUGAAAUCUCCACGCUCAACGUGGAGCGGUCAUCCGAGACUGCCAUGACUUGAGUCCGGUAGAGGAGUGUGGAAUUCCCGGUGUAGCGGUGAAAUGCGCAGAGAUCGGGAGGAACACCUGUAGCGAAGGCGACACUCUGGGCCGGUACUGACGCUGAGGAGCGAAAGCGUGGGGAGCGAACAGGAUUAGAUACCCUGGUAGUCCACGCCGUAAACGAUGGGCACUAGGUGUGGGGGUCUAUCGACGACUUCUGUGCCGUAGCUAACGCAUUAAGUG